rnacentral:rRNA from 1 species
GAUUAAGUUAUUAAGGGCGCACGGUGGAUGCCUUGGCACUAGAAGCCGACGAAGGACGUUACUAACGACGAUAUGCUUUGGGGAGCUGUAAGUAAGCUUUGAUCCAGAGAUUUCCGAAUGGGGAAACCCAGCACGAGUUAUGUCGUGUUAUCGAUAUGUGAAUACAUAGCAUAUCUGAAGGCAGACGCGGAGAACUGAAACAUCUUAGUACCCGCAGGAAGAGAAAGAAAAAUCGAUUCCCUGAGUAGCGGCGAGCGAAACGGGAAGAGCCCAAACCAACGAGCUUGCUUGUUGGGGUUGUAGGACACUCUAUACGGAGUUACAAAAGAACAGACUAGACGAAUCAUCUGGAAAGAUGAAUCAAAGAAGGUAAUAAUCCUGUAGUCGAAAGUUUGUUCACUCUUGAGUGGAUCCUGAGUACGACGGAACACGAGAAAUUCCGUCGGAAUCUGGGAGGACCAUCUCCCAAGGCUAAAUACUCUCUAGUGACCGAUAGUGAACCAGUACCGUGAGGGAAAGGUGAAAAGUACCCCGGAAGGGGAGUGAAAUAGAACUUGAAACCGUGUGCUUACAAGUAGUCAGAGCCCGUUAAUGGGUGAUGGCGUGCCUUUUGUAGAAUGAACCGGCGAGUUACGAUUUGAUGCAAGGUUAAGCAGUGAAUGUGGAGCCGUAGCGAAAGCGAGUCUGAAUAGGGCGUUGAGUAUUUGGUCGUAGACCCGAAACCAGGUGAUCUACCCAUGACCAGGUUGAAGUUCAGGUAACACUGAAUGGAGGACCGAACCGACUUACGUUGAAAAGUGAGCGGAUGAGUUGUGGGUAGCGGAGAAAUUCCAAUCGAACCUGGAGAUAGCUGGUUCUCUCCGAAAUAGCUUUAGGGCUAGCCUCAAGUGAUGAUUAUUGGAGGUAGAGCACUGUUUGGACGAGGGGCCCUUAUCGGGUUACCGAAUUCAGACAAACUCCGAAUGCCAAUCAAUUUAACUUGGGAGUCAGAACGCGGGUGAUAAGGUCCGUGUUCGAAAGGGAAACAGCCCAGACCACCAGCUAAGGUCCCAAAAUAUAUGUUAAGUGGAAAAGGAUGUGGCGUUGCCCAGACAACUAGGAUGUUGGCUUAGAAGCAGCCAUCAUUUAAAGAGUGCGUAAUAGCUCACUAGUCGAGUGACACUGCGCCGAAAAUGUACCGGGGCUAAACAUAUUACCGAAGCUGUGGAUUGUCCGUAAGGACAAUGGUAGGAGAGCGUUCUAAGGGCGUUGAAGCAUGAUCGCAAGGACAUGUGGAGCGCUUAGAAGUGAGAAUGCCGGUGUGAGUAGCGAAAGACGGGUGAGAAUCCCGUCCACCGAUUGACUAAGGUUUCCAGAGGAAGGCUCGUCCGCUCUGGGUUAGUCGGGUCCUAAGCUGAGGCCGAUAGGCGUAGGCGAUGGAUAACAGGUUGAUAUUCCUGUACCACCAUUAUUCGUUUUAAGCGAUGGGGGGACGCAGUAGGAUAGGCGAAGCGUACGAUUGGAUUGUACGUCCAAGCAGUGAGAUUGAGUGUUAGGCAAAUCCGGCACUCUUAAGAUUGAGCUGUGAUGGGGAGAGGAAAUUGUUUCCUCGAGUCGUUGAUUUCACACUGCCAAGAAAAGCCUCUAGCUAGAAUUGUGGUGCCCGUACCGCAAACCGACACAGGUAGUCAAGAUGAGAAUUCUAAGGUGAGCGAGCGAACUCUCGUUAAGGAACUCGGCAAAAUGACCCCGUAACUUCGGGAGAAGGGGUGCUCUUUAGGGUUAACGCCCAGGAGAGCCGCAGUGAAUAGGCCCAAGCGACUGUUUAUCAAAAACACAGGUCUCUGCUAAACCGUAAGGUGAUGUAUAGGGGCUGACGCCUGCCCGGUGCUGGAAGGUUAAGAGGAGUGGUUAGCUUCUGCGAAGCUACGAAUCGAAGCCCCAGUAAACGGCGGCCGUAACUAUAACGGUCCUAAGGUAGCGAAAUUCCUUGUCGGGUAAGUUCCGACCCGCACGAAAGGCGUAACGAUUUGGGCACUGUCUCAACGAGAGACUCGGUGAAAUCAUAGUACCUGUGAAGAUGCAGGUUACCCGCGACAGGACGGAAAGACCCCGUGGAGCUUUACUGUAGUCUGAUAUUGAAAUUCGGCACAGCUUGUACAGGAUAGGUAGGAGCCUGAGAUACGUGAGCGCUAGCUUACGUGGAGGCGUUGGUGGGAUACUACCCUCGCUGUGUUGGAUUUCUAACCCGCACCAUUUAUCAUGGUGGGAGACAGUGUCAGAUGGGCAGUUUGACUGGGGCGGUCGCCUCCUAAAGAGUAACGGAGGCGCUCAAAGGUUUCCUCAGAAUGGUUGGAAAUCAUUCAUAGAGUGUAAAGGCAUAAGGAAGCUUGACUGCGAGACUUACAAGUCGAGCAGGGUCGAAAGACGGACUUAGUGAUCCGGUGGUUCCGCAUGGAAGGGCCAUCGCUCAACGGAUAAAAGCUACCCCGGGGAUAACAGGCUUAUCUCCCCCAAGAGUUCACAUCGACGGGGAGGUUUGGCACCUCGAUGUCGGCUCAUCGCAUCCUGGGGCUGUAGUCGGUCCCAAGGGUUGGGCUGUUCGCCCAUUAAAGCGGUACGCGAGCUGGGUUCAGAACGUCGUGAGACAGUUCGGUCCCUAUCCGUCGUGGGCGUAGGAAAUUUGAGAGGAGCUGUCCUUAGUACGAGAGGACCGGGAUGGACAUACCUCUGGUGUACCAGUUGUCGUGCCAACGGCAUCGCUGGGUAGCUAUGUAUGGACGGGAUAAGUGCUGAAAGCAUCUAAGCAUGAAGCCCCCCUCAAGAUGAGAUUUCCCAACUUCGGUUAUAAGAUCCCUCAAAGAUGAUGAGGUUAAUAGGUUCGAGGUGGAAGCAUAGCGAUAUGUGCAGCUGAUGAAUACUAAUCGAUCGAAGACUUAAUCAA